CAGUCGCCACGAGAAUACAGAGGGUGCGAGCGUUAAUCGGAUUUACUGGGCGUAAAGCGUGCGUAGGCGGCUUCUUAAGUCGGAUGUGAAAUCCCUGAGCUUAACUUAGGAAUUGCAUUCGAUACUGGGAAGCUAGAGUAUGGGAGAGGAUGGUAGAAUUCCAGGUGUAGCGGUGAAAUGCGUAGAGAUCUGGAGGAAUACCGAUGGCGAAGGCAGCCAUCUGGCCUAAUACUGACGCUGAGGUACGAAAGCAUGGGGAGCAAACAGGAUUAGAUACCCGGGUAGUCCCUGUCUCUUAUAC
rnacentral:rRNA from 1 species